UCCUUUUGGGCCUACUUCAGAACGGUCGUUGAAGCGAAAUAUCGAUCAUGUUCAUAGAUCAGGGAAUGAAUUUGAUGUGUCACGCCUGACAAAAGCCCAAGAUUACAGAAUCUUUGUGUCGACGUGGAAUGUUGGUGGCCAAUGCCCAUCAAGGGGGUUAAUUUAGAUGACUGACUCCAUUCUUCACCCCCUGCUGAUAUCUAUGUGCUCGGAUAUCACUUAUUACGAGGACACUAAACAAGAACGCUGGGUCUAGCAUUCAUGCUGGCUAUCACACGCCAUUCCCUGUCCCUGAUCCGGUUGUGGAACUAGAUGCUGAUUUUAAGGUUUAGUGUGUGCGACCCUGUUAACAUAGGAGUCAGGCCGAGCGAUUUUGAUAGAAAUUUCAAGUGUAUCGGAUCACCAGUCGAUGAGUAUAUUGAGGAGGAUACAAGUAAUGGAGCAUAUUUUUCACCAUUCCCAUAUGGCUAUGGUACUUAAACACCAAUGGAAGGAGAUGAAGAGCAGCCAAAUACUUCUAGGUGUCCAGGUAUUGUUUGGUUGCCAGCAAACAGAUGGUUGGCAGAUUUCUCACAGUUUGGGUAACAGCAGGUAUGGCAUGGGAUUCAUUGUUCUGGUUAGAUGAGAUAUAUCAUCUGGUAAAUCAUUGGAUACAUUUCAACGUAUUGGAUUAUUUUGUUCUGAACUCUUUAGUCAGAGUCGAAGCUUUGUCUGCCACCGCUCUUCAGUUCACACCGCCGAUGUUGUGAGGACUGGCAGCUCUUCAGUUCAUGCUGCCAAUGUUGUGAGGACUGGCAGGACUUCAAUGGGUGCUGAGGCUGCAACCUAGGGCGAGGGCGUCGGUGCGUUGAGAUGGUGGGGCCACGUCAGUGGGAGGACGUGAGGCGGCGAUGUCCACCCGGAUCUAUAGCCGCAACAGAAGAACAACUCAGAGAGGACGUGCAGCUCCUGUGUGUAGUAAAUAAAUCGCUGCCCAGAUAAAUCACCGGGACACUACCAAGUGUGUCGUCAGUAGGAUAAAAAAUCUUGAGCGUGCCUCAGGUGCGACUCUAGCUAUUGAAAAUCAAAGAACCUGAAUACUUCCGGAGUUUGAUAAGGCUUUACGGUGAGUUCUCAUAGUGGUCUAUGUGCAUGAUGGGAUGCUGGUACUGCUGUUCUACUUUUACUGCUGUUGUCAUUAAGCAGAUUUUGUCAAAGCAAUUGCUAUGUGUAUUAAUUUGGAUAGGAUCAGUUAAAGUACAUCUCAUUCAACGGCGUUUUUUGUCGUGUGUUUUAACUUUUUAUUAUUAGUAGCAGUGGUUUCUAUAGCUAGCCCAAUGAUGAUCCCCACUUUAACCGACAUGAUGUCAAAGCUCAAGGCUAUCAGUGACCAUCCAUAUAGCUCAUCAAGUCAUCUUCAGAUCACUAGCCCUAAUGGUGUCAAGCUCAAGGAUAUCUACGAGCACUCGAACCUCCUGCAUGACGAAGUCACUCGAUGAGGAUGUGCUUACCCAGGAGAAUGAACCUAUUGAUGCUCCCCUUGCAGCCGGAAGUAUCUUGAAAGCUGCGAAAACCUCAUACAUGAGCAUAUCCGCGAUGCAAGGAGCUUUUGUGGUGACUCGGAGGAGGUAGCAGGGGGAGGAAGAGAAGGGAUAGGUUCCAUUACGAUCUUCUGUUGACACAAUGGUCGUCGGUGGCGAGAACAUGAGGACCAUGGUUACAAUUUAUAGACAUGUAUUGACCUAUUGCGGCUAUAGAGUAUGCCUAAGCCAAUGGCCAGACAUCGGCUGUUCGGAUCCACCCUUAAGCCGAGGCACAAGUCCAUUGCGGUUGAUUAUUGUUUGGGGAUUCAGUUUCAUGGUUGCAACCAGAUCAAUGACCGGUUAAUCUAACACCCAGUUUUAAAGAGAGAACAAAGUAGGAAGGGUGUGUGAUGGCGCUGGGGCCAUGUGUUGGAUAUAACAUGUUGGAUAGUCUGGACAACCAAAUUUCUCCCCUAUAUAUGUGCUGGAUUUGGGGGAGCUCUAACUGUUCAAACAGUUGGAAUUUUCAAGAGCCCACUGAGCGCCUAUUUGAUGUCCGAACACGCGCGGGCGUACGAGGGAGAAAUGAGCGCCGACCUUGGGGACAAUCUUAAUCAUUUGUUUGAUUCAUGUAUAUGCAUUGUAGCCCGUAGCAAUGCACGGGCAUUCUACUAGGUGAGUUGAGGCAGACAGCAAGGGCCGAGGUUGACAAAUAAAAUGCCAUUGUGAUGGUAAGGAAAAUAUCAGGUUCUAAUUAGUGGAGGACUACAAAAGUUAAAGAGGUCUUGAUGAGAUGAUUGACAUGACAUGAAUAGUUAAUUUGACAUGUAUCAUGGGCACUUCUUCAUUAUUCAGUUGUCUCGCUUGAAUUUGUGGACCAACUGCUGGACAUAGUUCAGUUUUCACAGAUAGCAAAAGCUGCAAAACUGGGUGUGCUAGAUUUUGUUCAAAGUGCAACUUUUAUUUGAUAAAGCCGAUCAGGUUUACAUGUGUAGAUCAAUGCAGUACCAACUGUAAAAGAGUUACAACGCAAGGUGAAGAGUCUCCUUUUUUGU